CUAAUUUCAGAAUUUUUACAAUGGAGGGGAAAAAUGAUGGGACGUCGACUUCGAGUCAAGACGAGUGGAUUGAAGGCCGGGAGGUUGCAACUGUGAAUAUUGAAGACAGGGAGGUUGCAACUGACAUUGAGAAUAUCGAGGACCGGGAGGUGGCAACAAAUGACAACGAACCCAUCCUUCCUGUAUCUGAGCAUAGAACUGUCGUUAUCAGAUGUAAUUCCGUACUAACAUGGGUAAUCAAACCUCUGGUUGGGCUAGGAUUUACUAUAGGGUUCGGAGUAGCUCUGCCUGAUGUUAGGGAGCUGGCCCCUUGGUUCCUCCUCGGCCUGGUUCUAGGGGUUUAUCUCCUUCUCUCCACCCUUCUCAACUUUCUGAUCAGAUAUACAGCUGGAGGAAUAUCUUGGAGAAUAAUGAAAACUAAUUAUAUUUUCCAGCUUCCGUCUCCUUUUGUACUCUGUUUUAUACUGGAUACUAUCACCAGUGGGUCUCUUCUUAUCACUGCUUGCGUUAUCCAACCCUUCUGUUGGACCUUCGGGCAUGUUGUUGGAAUAAUCGUGGCCAUUCUCCACUUCGUCAUAGCUGUUGGGUUGCUGGUUGUGAGGAGAAAGAGUGCUGCUUGUAUGACUAUGAAUAGAGAUGUUCAAUACUCACCAAAUUUAUACCAAGCCAUCCCAAUCUUAAAGGAGUUCUUAAACCGGUUAUUCUCCGCUGCCAGCACCCAAGAGACCCCUUCGUACAUUUCCACCGCGGUGAAGGAGCUGACCCUCAUCUGGAAAGGGUUAAACGACGCGGAGACGAUUGUCUCUGUCCUGAAGGGUAGAAGGAUUGGGAACUGUAUCCUACUCCUCCUUGUGUUCGGUCUCUGUGUGGUGAGCUGUGUAACUGAGUUCUGUUUUAUCAAGGAUUGGGAUUCUUGGAGCAGUCACCCUAACCAUGCACACUUUAGAAUCUACGGUCCAUUUGAGGGUGUAGAGACAAGCCUGCGCUACUGGGCCGGUAUAUCGACUGUAUCUUGUAUCCCAGUCCUAGUCCUUCUCCUGGCAGGAUCAUUCCGUCCUUCCGUCUUGGUAAACCUGGUGACCUCCUUGAUCUCCCUCGGGGUCGGUGUAUACUUUGCUCUCCUCUCCUCCUACUCCACCAUGUCUCUGAUCCUGCUCCAGGAAAACCGCUUUCCAACAUCAGCUUCUCUAGUUUUCAGAUUCAUGCAUCUUCUCCCGAUUCCGUUCAUUGCCAUUCUUCUAAUCUCAUUCGGAAUAUCAACCCUCCUAGUUCAUCUCAAGCUGGAUACCUCUACAAUAUGUUUUCAGGUUAUAAAGGUUGUGAGCAGUAUUCCUCUGUUAGUUUUAUGUCCCAUCCUUCUAACCUACUCCAUCUUCUACUCCAUGCAGGAGCUGUCCAAGCAUUGGUCAACCCCAGAGUCAGAGAACUACUGGUCCGAGCAGAACCCGGUUCAAGGUAAUCUAGACUGGGAGAUACUAAAUACAUUCACCCUGUACAUGUCCUCGGAGGUUGCCCUGACCUCCUCCCUCCUCAUCCUCCACCUAACAACCCUGGCCUCCGGCAGAAGCAAGAUCCCCGGACCUAUCUCCUGUGUCAUAUAUCUAAUCGUCCUCUCUUCUUCAUCCUACGCGGCAUUUGCACUCUACGGUCAGGACACCACCACUAUGGAAUUAAUGUCCUGGGGCCCGGUCAAAUAUGCCCACACCGGUCUGAUUGUGACCGGGCUAGGGAUUGGAUUGGUUGGGUUUGGCAGGAACUGUAUAUCCAUGUUGGUCACUUUAGUCUGGUUAAUCGGGUUUCCGGUUCUCUGCCUCGUGUUUGCAGUCGUCUUCGUUUUCAAUACAGUCAAGGUGUGUGUGCAACAGGAACAGCUGUAUAGAGGUGAAUCGGAGGAGCAGAUGUAUAGAGGAGAACAGGAGGAGCAGAUGUAUAGAGGAGAACAGGAGGAGCAAGUAGAACAGGAGAAGCUGAUAAAGGGAGAGCAGUUGAAUCAGGAUAUUCAAGUUUAAACAGGAACAAGAAAUUUUAGCGAAGGGAUUAAAAGUUGGAUAUCAAAAGACAACUUUUUUCAUUAAAUUUGAUACUGUUUUACCAAAAAUUCAUUAAUAUUCUCCUAAAGCUGGAUAUAAAGUUCAGCUGCUGAAUUCCUGAACUUAGCUGGAUAUCUAGUUCAGCAGCUGAAUUUCAGAACUUAGCUGGAUAUCAAGUUCAGCAGCUGAAUUCCUGAACUUGGCAGGAUAUCAAUUUCAGCAGCUGAAUUCCUAUACUUUGUAGGAUAUCCAAUACAAAAAUUGCCAACUCUAUAAUUGGAGUACGUUUCGAGUUUUCGCGUUCAAUUUCUUUAUGGAUUUUUAUCAUUGGAUAUCUGGAUAUCAGAUAGUAAAAACAAUUAAAAAAUACUUUUGUGUUGUGAAUCAUGAGACCAAUCAUUUCAUCCUUAUCUUAUGCCGUUCUAAAGAACCCCCGAACCCAUUCCUGGGAUACAUAAGAAAGAACCAAAUACAUUACUUACAUUACUUAAAUUUUGAUUUAGUCACAAUGGAUUAAAGCACAAUUCACGCAAAAAUGUUUAACUCUUGUAUUAAAUCCUAUGUGAUAAGGUUCACCCCAUAAAUUUAAAUUAAAACAUUGCCUUUUUCAUUUUUGUUGUGAAUGUUUGGGUUGUAGACCUUGUGUGAUAUUUGUAUUAUAUAUUUUUAUUAUAUUAUUAUUAGUUGAGUUGUAACUAUCAGUAAAUUUUGUUAUACAAUUUUUUAUUUAUUUUUAUUUUUUCAAAUUGUUAACACCCAUGAA